GUGCCAGCAGCCGCGGUAAUACAGAGGGUGCAAGCGUUGUUCGGAAUUACUGGGCGUAAAGCGCGUGUAGGUGGCGAUGUAAGUCGGGUGUGAAAUCCCUCAGCUUAACUGAGGAAGUGCACUCGAUACUGUGUCGCUUGAGUGUUGGAGGGGAUGGCGGAAUUCCCGGUGUAGAGGUGAAAUUCGUAGAUAUCGGGAGGAACACCUGUGGCGAAGGCGGCCAUCUGGACAACUACUGACACUGAGACGCGAAAGCGUGGGUAGCAAACAGGAUUAGAAACCCUAGUAGUCC
rnacentral:rRNA from 1 species